AAGAUCGUACUUCACAGGAUCAUUUCUGUAGUAGAUCUUCUUUUCGAUCUCUGCCCAAACAGAGAGUUGAUGUAACCACGAUGAGGAGGCGUAGCUCCUUUCCCUGAGCGUGAGGAAGACUCGAGGAGUUGACACUGUUCGAUUCCUCAGUCAUCGAUGAUCGUUCACCCCUUGCACUCAGUGCAAGGGGCCUGGGAAUUGGGGCUUUCUGAGUGGU